AAGCAUGUUAACAAUGAGAAAUCAAGUACUAAAUAAAUAAAUUUUGCUGUAUUUAGAGUAAAGCAGAAAUUAUGUACAAAAUGGUGUUUGUGAGUCCUGAUGUCCUGUUAUGUUCCUGAUGGUGUUCAUCAGGACUCACAAUCAAGUCAGACUAGAUUAAACAAUGUUCAUAUGAAAUGUUCAGAACUAUUGAUUGAUUUAUUUGAAGCUGCAGGUUUUUCUGUGAAUCAUGAUGAUUGAGCUUCAUAUGAAGAACAGAAGAUCAUUAUGAGAAACUCCACAACAUCAUCCAUGAUAAAAGAGGUCAAAGGUCACCUCAGAGGUCACAGAUCAUCAAAUAUAUUUCUAUAAACAGUGUUAAAUCAGAAAGCAUUUAGUCCAAACUGAAUGUGUGAGUGUUGAGAAGAUGUGAGUUUCUUCUAAUAUCAGUGUGUUGAAGUGUUGUUUCUCUCUCUCUGCUGGAGUUUGUGUUCACUCGAGUGGAAUAGAGGUUUUUGUACGACCGUUUCAUUAGAUUGUAUCACUGUGGUGCACAUUCGGUGGAGGAACUAAACUGGUGCUCGCUGGUCCCACAGUGAAGCCCUCAGUGUCUCUGCUGCCGCCCUCUUCUCUGCAGAUCUCUGGAGACUCAGCCGCACUGCUCUGCCUGCUCAGCUCUUACUCUCCACAGGGGGCGCUGGUGAGCUGGACACUGGACGGGUCAGAGGUCACCGAGGGGGUCGUGACCAGCGCGGAGAGCCAGCGGGACGGCCGCUACAGCCGCAGUAGCGUCCUGACCCUCAGCAAAGCACGCUGGGAAGAGGGAGAGGUGUACGUCUGCAGAGUAACACAUGAUGGAGCUCCUCAUGAGGUCUCGUUCCACAAGAGCUCUGAGUGCUGAUGUUUCUCUCCUGAAGAUGAGCCGUAUCUGAGUGUCCUGUGUCAGGCAGGAUUCACAUGAGUCUAGUGCUGCAGCUGUAGUGAUUUACAACUCAAUACUGAAAGAGAGCUGGCGUGUCAAAGCACUGUGUGAUCUUUCAAUCUGCUGUAACAUUCAAUAAAGCUUCUCAACAAGUUCA